GUCUUGUCACGGAGUUUUCUCCAGUUUCGAUCCAGUGUGUACCGUCCAACACGGUACAGUUAAUUGAGGCCACAACCGACGAGUAUGUGCUGCGGGCUGUUCCCGGGAACGAUUAGCUUCCUUGUCCCGAGGGCGACUGACUCCGUCCGGUGUGGCUGACUGACAGCGGUUAGCAUGUGCUAGCAUAGCAACGUCUACUGAUUCUGUUUUUGCUUGUCAACCCGCUACCAUCUCCUAAACUCUACAUUUCCCAUCGAGUCUUACAAGUGUCGUUCAUGUUUAAAGGUAUUCGUUUUGAAAUAUUGUUCCGAUCGACGUGGCGACCGUACAGUUGCCCGUGCAGCUAGCUAGCUACCACAUGCAACUUCUCGCAAAUGCUAACAGCUACUUUCAACGAGCACGCGAAUUCAUCUAAAGUGUUCUUUCUUAAAAUAAUUAGGUGGCUGUUUGUAUUGCGAUGUUCGUUUUGGUAUAUCGCCAUCCAAAUAAACGCCACAGAUGUUAGUUUUUCGCUGACUGUUAGCCAACAGUCAAGUAGUGCUAUAAUUUACCUACGGGAAUUGUCAGAAGUGACGCUUCGGAUUCUCAGCAUCGAUGCCGCUUUGCUUUCAGUAGAGUAUUGCAAAGUGCAGCACGCCUGCCAAUAAACCUGAUGACUUGGUUUUCAUUUUUCGUCCUGGCGUGUUUGCUCUCCAUCGAACAAUAUUAGAUCGGUGCAGUCGAUGGAUACUUUAUUAGUCCAUAAAGGGAAAUUCACACUUCUAGUAGCCUCCACAGUGAAAACUAUCCCAUGGAAUGUCAAAUAUCUAAUAAUAUAUAUAAAGUAGUAUCUAUCUAAAGAUGUGAAAAAUAUACAUGUAUUAGCAAGUCUUUUUUGUUUGUUUUCCUUUUAAAAUUCAAAAAUGAAAUUCAAGUCAUAAUUUAAGUGAGGUGGAAAGGUGCAUGCCGGUCAGUGUGCCAAAUGUUAACAGUAAGUCACCGUACAGCGUUGAGGGAAUGUGACAUUGGCGUUUCCCUCCCAGGGUGGCAUAGUGGCAUUAAAAAGCCGCACGGCGGAGGAAGGACUUCCUCAGUCUGCCACUGAAGCUGCUCCUCUGCCUGGAGAAGGUGCUGUGCGGUGGAUGUGUCCACGAUGGACAGACGUUUGCUCGACAUCCUCCUUUUUGCUGUAGAUGUCAGGCUGUCCGAUUCUGUGUCCACGCCACAGCCUGGCUCAAUUCACUUGUUAUCCAGUGGAUUUAAUAAAUCACUGAUAUUUCACAUGCACUGAAAAAAAAGUCUUUCGAAUUUACUUAAUUUGAACAUGUACAUUGGUUGCACAUGAUUAAAAUGUGUUCAAAUGAUGUUUAUUUUAUUUCAUUUUUUAGAAGAUAAAUUGUCAUUUGAACACAUUUUAAUCACGUGCAACCGAUUUGCAUGUGCAAAUGAAGUAAAUUCGAAGGAGUCUUUUAAUCAGUCUGCACAGGUGCAGCAGACGCUGCUGGAGCGUAAUUGCGUCGGAGACCCUGGGGCUGCCGGAGGAGACGCCAGGGACGGUGGACGAAUCCCCCGAACAUGUAGCGCGUGGCUGCAACUGCGACUGCACUGAUAAAAAGAGUCCUUUGAAUUUACUUCAUUUGAACAUGUACAAGACGGCACGGUGGACGACUGGUUAGAGCGUCUGCCUCACAGUUCUGAGGACCGGGGUUCAAAUCCCGGCCUCGCCUGUGUGGAGUUUGCAUGUUCUCCCCGUGGCUGCGUGGCUUUUCUCCGGCCACUCUGGUUUCCUCCCACGUCCCAAAAACAUGCCGGGUAGGUUGAUUGAAGACUCUAAAUUGCCCGUAGAUGUGAAUGUGAGUGCGGGUAGUUGUUUGUUGAUAUGUGCCCUGCGAGUCUAAAGAAAAAGUGAUUUUUUUAUUUAUUUUUUUCCGAGUGUGUGCGUCCUCUCGUGUAUUAAAAUAAUAAAUUGGGUCAUCAAAAAGGAGUCAAAGUUUUUGAUAUCCUCUUUGAUAUGCUGAGUGCUUCUGUUUGAAUUCAAUUACAAAUACCAUGCAUACAUUUAUGCAUGAACCUUUAUCUCACAGGGCUGAUCGAUGAUCAUCAUUCCCAAUUAGACAUUCAACAAAUACAUGGUAUUAACCUUGUGGGGUGGUCAGAGUCAGCCACAUGUGCUCCCAGCACCCCCGAGAGAGCAGCGUCACCCAUGAUCGCAGCGACUCUCUCCUCGAACGGGGUGAGGCCCUCGGCGCCGAUUCCUCCGCCUGUUUUGGCCACGCUUUGGCGGUGGGCAGCUGUCCACCUUAAUGUCUGACCACUUCUUUUUUAGUUCAGCAUAUGUGUGCGCUGUUCCGACCCCACAGCAUUGACAGUCGCACACGCGCUGUCCCAUUCGCUCCUCUUUCGCACGUUGUUAACGCCAGAGGACAGCGUGCCCAGGAGGAUUUUCUUGCGCGCCUCCACUUCAUUGAGCAACUUCGCAUUCAGAAAAAAUAUUUUUCUUCAUUACCUUGCUCAUUUUCCUUUUUUUCUGAACACGCAGAGAUCGGGGGUUCAUUUAAAUAUGAUUUGCAUAUUUAAAUGUGGGCGUGGACAGGGAGGGGUCGGCUACUCCAUCAUGUGCGCUCAUUUCCACGUUGAUUGGGAUGUACAAAGGAAAUGUGCUUGGAUUCAUGCGUACGCAGAGAUUCAUACACCGGGAUAUUUUUGGGCCUACGACGUUUUCUGGAUUUGAGCGUACGCCAUGUUUCAGUAGGAAAUCCACGCAAGUCUUUGUACAUGAGGCCCCUGGAGCAUCUUUUUCCAGAUGUUCAGGGAAGAAGCAAGGUCAAAUAGGAAAUAAUUUCAUGGACACGAAUACUAGGCAAAUGUACAUUCAACAAUCGAUGUCAUAUUUCCCAACUGGUAAUUGUCACGUAUGAGGAAAUCCCACCAUCAACAUAAAUUCUUCAGACCAAUUGAAGAUGAAGACCAAACUACUCUCUUUACACUACGGUGUGUACAACAUGAAUCAUGAUUAUAUUGUUGUGACUUUCGGCUCUUCUCAUCAGCGUGAUUUGUUUGGCGCAGUUUUUAUUGUCGGAUGCUCUUCCUGUUGCAAUUCACCUAUUUAUCCGGGCUUGGGGCUGGUAG